rnacentral:rRNA from 1 species
UAGGGAAUCUUCGGCAAUGGGGGGAACCCUGACCGAGCAACGCCGCGUGAGUGAAGAAGGUUUUCGGAUCGUAAAGCUCUGUUGUUAAGGAAGAACGAGUGUGAGAAUGGAAAGUUCAUACUGUGACGGUACUUAACCAGAAAGGGACGGCUAACUACGUGCCAGCAGCCGCGGUAAUACGUAGGUCCCGAGCGUUGUCCGGAUUUAUUGGGCGUAAAGCGAGCGCAGGCGGUUAGAUAAGUCUGAAGUUAAAGGCAGUGGCUCAACCAUUGUAGGCUUUGGAAACUGUUUAACUUGAGUGCAGAAGGGGAGAGUGGAAUUCCAUGUGUAGCGGUGAAAUGCGUAGAUAUAUGGAGGAACACCGGUGGCGAAAGCGGCUCUCUGGUCUGUAACUGACGCUGAGGCUCGAAAGCGUGGGGAGCGAACAGGAUUAGAUACCCUGGUAGUCCACGCCGUAAACGAUGAGUGCUAGGUAUUAGGUCCUUUCCGGGACUUAGUGCCGCAGCUAACGCAUUAAGCACUCCGCCUGGGGAGUACGACCGCAAGGUUG